rnacentral:rRNA from 1 species
UUCACUUGUUGGUGAGGUAAUGGCUCACCAAGGCGUCGACGGGUAGCCGGCCUGAGAGGGUGACCAGCCACACUGGGACUGAGACACGGCCCAGACUCCUACGGGAGGCAGCAGUGGGGAAUAUUGCACAAUGGGCGCAAGCCUGAUGCAGCAACGCCGCGUGAGGGAUGACGGCCUUCGGGUUGUAAACCUCUUUUAGCAGGGAAGAAGCGAAAGUGACGGUACCUGCAGAAAAAGCACCGGCUAACUACGUGCCAGCAGCCGCGGUAAUACGUAGGGUGCAAGCGUUAUCCGGAAUUAUUGGGCGUAAAGAGCUCGUAGGCGGUUUGUCGCGUCUGCUGUGAAAUCUGGGGGCUCAACCCCCAGCCUGCAGUGGGUACGGGCAGACUAGAGUGCGGUAGGGGAGAUUGGAAUUCCUGGUGUAGCGGUGGAAUGCGCAGAUAUCAGGAGGAACACCGAUGGCGAAGGCAGAUCUCUGGGCCGUAACUGACGCUGAGGAGCGAAAGGGUGGGGAGCAAACAGGCUUAGAUACCCUGGUAGUCCACCCCGUAAACGUUGGGAACUAGUUGUGGGGUCCAUUCCACGGAUUC